AGUGAACGCUGGCGGUAGGCCUAACACAUGCAAGUCGAACGGCAGCACAGUAAGAGCUUGCUCUUACGGGUGGGGAGUGGCGGACGGGUGAGGAAUACAUCGGAAUCUACUUUUUCGUGGGGGAUAACGUAGGGAAACUUACGCUAAUACCGCAUACGACCUACGGGUGAAAGCAGGGGAUCUUCGGACCUUGCGCGAUUGAAUGAGCCGAUGUCGGAUUAGCUAGUUGGCGGGGUAAAGGCCCACCAAGGCGACGAUCCGUAGCUGAUCUGAGAGGAUGAUCAGCCACACUGGAACUGAGACACGGUCCAGACUCCUACGGGAGGCAGCAGUGGGGAAUAUUGGACAAUGGGCGCAAGCCUGAUCCAGCCAUACCGCGUGGGUGAAGAAGGCCUUCGGGUUGUAAAGCCCUUUUGUUGGGAAAGAAAAGAAGCAGGUUAAUACCCCGCUGUUCUGACGGUACCCAAAGAAUAAGCACCGGCUAACUUCGUG
rnacentral:rRNA from 1 species